UUCCAGCUGACAAGUCCCAUAUAAAACGAAACGCGCGUCUUGGAU
rfam:Schistosoma curassoni strain Dakar, Senegal genome assembly, scaffold: SCTD_scaffold0003265